AUGGUUAAUCAAUGUCGUAUAUAACAGUGGGAAGUUCUACUAGUACUACUCAAUGAGCACGCACUGACGUCUCAGUACGGAUGUCUCAACAAUAUGCAUGUACCCAUCUCAUUGAGAGGAUUUGCAUUUGAACAGCAUGACUGACCAAGAUGAGACUAUUAAUUGGGUGAAACAAUGCCUUAUUAGUGGAAUUAGAUUCUACUACCCGAUCCGUCCAACCAACCCGGGUGACAUCUGGCGAGGUUGCAAAUUUGAGAAAGGUUUUCGAUGGCCUGACCCGCCCCAGCAGCGGAUUGGAUGUGAGUCAGGGGCCUUUGCUAUCUUGGCAAUGCUUUCUCGUCUCAUUUGGCCGUUCCUCACCACCAUCGCCGUCUCAUUUUCGUUGUAGUUUGCAAUUCCACUUUUUGUUCUUCUCCCCGUCUCAUUUCCAAGUCACUUGUUGUCACUUUUUCCCUCAAAGUUCCCAUCAAAAUUUUAAAAGGUUUUUUGACAAAGAAAUGUGGGGAAGCCGCUGCACAUGGUCCAGCCAGGUUGGAGAGGAGGUGACACGUGAGAAUUUACAAAACAUUAAUAUAAGCAAGCACGACGACGACGACGGCAGCAACAAUAACAAACAAGUGAGUGGAUAAUUUGGGGGCGAGGGGCAAUUAGACGACGAAGGGGUCCCAUCUACAAAUUGAGGGAGGAACGCUCACGAGGUUCUGACCAUUGUUUUAUUCUUCACUUAUCAUUUUUGAGUUAAGGGAGGAUAAAAUGAUGGUACUUUUCAUCUUUGACCCAACCCGGACAAAAUGGAGGACUGGUGGAUGAUGAGGGACGUUGGUAAACUUCAUAACGUUAAUUUUUUAUUUAUUUUUGACAUCCACCCACACCCCUUCAACAUGUGUCACAUCGACAUGAUGUCAUUGCGCCCUGACCACCGACUCAUCCCUCUUUGCGUUAUGAAGUUUACAAACGUCCCAUGAUGAGGCAACAACAACAAUCGAAUUACUCUGUGGCUCAAUUGCAAUUCGUGAAAGAGGACAAUAAGAACAAAGGGGACACGUAUUUCAAAAGAGCAACUAUAAUUUCCUCUCUCAAACCAAAAUUAACAACAUUUUUCUACUUGUGUAUCUUUCAGUAAGAAAAAUCAUGCAACAAACAGACCUGCUGGACUUUUAAAUUACCAUUAUUCAGGAUGAAUUGAUGAUCGCUAUUACCAAUCCGGAUAAGUAUAGUUGUGAAAUGGUAAAAUAUCUCCCAACAUCAUGAAUCAUAAAGUAUGAUUGAUUACAAAGUUUUCUUUUCGUUUUUCACGCUGGCUUCAAUCACUGGGUGAAGCCAUCCAAAAAUUGAGCAGUCUAAAAGUACCGAAAUACUCGACCGCUAACACUGUUUGUCAAUAUUACCCCUAAAAUAUAUACCGAGUAAAAGUUGCCAAGUUUCGACAUCCAAGGUAUACUCUUGAACAGAGUUCUCCAAACUGGUGCAAGUUUUCAUGCCAAAGCUUUACAAAAUUCUGUCCUUUUCCGUUCAUUUCUCUUGUGAAAGGAUAAAAAUCCAGUAAUUUUUUACAAUGUAUGCAUCCUCAAAGGGGGAAUAUAGCUUUGUUGGGUAGAACAAGGUCAUAUUUUGGUAGAAAAUGCAAAAUAGGAGGGUGUGAUUGUGGGGUUAGUGUGGCACCACCGCCUCCACGUGUCCAUCAUGAACGUCUCCUCCAUUGGUUGUGGUUCGUAGGGGCGGUGGAUGUGAGCAGUUUUUUAGUUUUUUUCUCGCUGCUGAGGAGGCUGAGGGAAAGAGAAGGUGCUGAGGUUUUUUAGUGAAAUAAACGUUUCAUAAUAAGAAAGAACUGGAAUUAAUUAAUGAAUUGAAUUGUGGGAUAAGUGAUCUGGUGAAAUUGUGAUAUUUUCUGUGUUGGUAAAGUAAACAAACGACAGAGUAGUAUUUUAAUGGAAAUAAAGUGACCGUGUUUAAAGAAACAGGAAAAAUAUAUAGUUGUUUAUAUCUGUGACAAUACAAUUUUUAAUUUGUACUUUAUUGUUCGUCAUAAAAAUACAUAAUAUUACACAUUUCUCAUCAUCGUCAUCAUUUAACGCGUAUUCAUAUUAUGCGAACAUUAUUAUGGCGAA